rnacentral:rRNA from 2 species
CCUCAACGGGGAGGCGCUUCCAACGCGACCCCAGGUCAGGCGGGAUUACCCGCUGAAUUUAAGCAUAUCAAUAA